CCAAUUUCCAAAAGGUAUAGAAAACCUCCUGAAGUGCAACUGUUUCUUCUCAGAGGAAGCCUGUUUCGAUAACCUGAUAGUUGAACCUGAUGGGAAGGUAUUUUGAAUUUAUUCAGACACAGGAAGAGUGUGUCCAAGGUUGCCCUGGGAAUCCUGAUUCAAAAUUUGGGACAGAGCCAUGGCUCAUAGUAUCCUUCUCUGCCUCCUGACCUCCAUCUUUGCCGGAUCACUGUCACACCUGUGCUGCUGUGAAGAUGUGAGCCCCCUGGCAAAGAACUCCUCUGCCCUCACUUGGCCUAACCACUAAAGAGUCCAUAAAAUUGCAGAUGAUUGUGCAACAAGGAUAUCAACCCCUUGGAACCGCCACUGGCCCCUACUGCACACUGCAUGGGCCAGACACCAGCUUCACCCGCUAACACGCAUUGGACUGACCACAACCAUGUGCCCCUUAAUCCCGCUCUGCUACUUAGACCAGGUAGGGUGAGAGAUUCAUGAUCCCCAGUAGGCUGGCCCAGUGCCCCUUUUCAGUGAAGAAGCAGCUAUAGAAAUGAACCAUCAUCCCUGUACAAGCCAUAAAGAUUUAUGGGGAUCACGUCUCUCAGAGGGAAAGUAAAGGAGGAAUCUAGAUAGAGACAAGAGUGGGAGGAGGAAAACUGGUUAUUCGAAAGUGGGAUAACCGGUACCACAGGUUCCCCAAGGACAUAGACAUGCGCUUGUGCGAAAGUAGCCACGCGGGGGUAGGGCACCAUUUGGUUGGACCGAUGAGUGCCCACCAGCUAGGGUGCCAAUCAACAGAGACUACACUCAGGGCUCAACCAAUGACCAAAUGACAUGAAUCCAGCUAAGAGGACUUAACACCCCGGGAAUGUACCUGAUGGUGCUCUUGAGCCAUUUUCUCACUCGAGCCUGCUCCAUUCUCUCCAGAGUGUACUCUCUCUUUGCUAAAAACAAAAAUUGCUCUUUGAUUUUUGC